rnacentral:rRNA from 1 species
GGAAUUCCUGGUGUAGCGGUGGAAUGCGCAGAUAUCAGGAGGAACACCAAUGGCGAAGGCAGGUCUCUGGGCCAAUACUGACACUGAGGAGCGAAAGUCUGGGGAGCGAACAGGAUUAGAUACCCUGGUAGUCCAGACCGUAAACGGUGGGUGCUAGUUGUGGGGAACCUUCCACGGUUUCUGCGACGCAGCUAACGCAUUAAGCACCCCGCCUGGGGAGUACGGUCGCAAGACUAAAACUCAAAGGAAUUGACGGGGGCCCGCACAAGCGGCGGAGCAUGCGGAUUAAUUCGAUGCAACGCGAAGAACCUUACCAAGACUUGACAUAUAGAGGAAAAGCGUAGAAAUACGCUCCCCGCAAGGUCUCUAUACAGGUGGUGCAUGGUUGUCGUCAGCUCGCGUCGUGAGAUGUUGGGUUAAGUCCCGCAACGAGCGCAACCCUCGUCCUAUGUUGCCAGCACGUAAUGGUGGGAACUCAUGGGAGACUGCCGGGGUCAACUCGGAGGAAGGUGGGGAUGACGUCAAAUCAUCAUGCCCCUUAUGUCUUGGGCUUCACGCAUGCUACAAUGGUCGAUACAAAGGGCUGCAAUACCGCAAGGUGGAGCGAAUCCCAUAAAGUCGGUCUCAGUUCGGAUUGGGGUCUGCAACUCGACCCCAUGAAGUCGGAGUCGCUAGUAAUCGUAGAUCAGCAACGCUACGGUGAAUACGUUCCCGGGCCUUGUACACACCGCCCGUCAAGUCACGAAAGUCGGUAACACCCGAAGCCGGUGGCCUAACCGUAAGGAAGGAGCCGUCGAAGGUGGGAUCGGUGAUUGGGACUAAGUCGUAACAAGGUA